rnacentral:rRNA from 1 species
ACGCACGCUGGCGGCAUGCCUAACACAUGCAAGUCGAACGAAGGCUUCGGCCUUAGUGGCGCACGGGUGCGUAACGCGUGGGAAUCUGCCCUUUGGUUCGGAAUAACAGCUGGAAACGGCUGCUAAUACCGGAUGAUGACGAAAGUCCAAAGAUUUAUCGCCAGAGGAUGAGCCCGCGUUGGAUUAGGUAGUUGGUGGGGUAAAGGCCUACCAAGCCGACGAUCCAUAGCUGGUCUGAGAGGAUGAUCAGCCACACUGGGACUGAGACACGGCCCAGACUCCUACGGGAGGCAGCAGUGGGGAAUAUUGGACAAUGGGCGCAAGCCUGAUCCAGCAAUGCCGCGUGAGUGAUGAAGGCCCUAGGGUUGUAAAGCUCUUUUACCCGGGAAGAUAAUGACUGUACCGGGAGAAUAAGCCCCGGCUAACUCCGUG